GGGCUUAUAGCUUAGUUGGUAAAGCAUCGCAUUCGCAUUGCGAAGACACCAGUUCGAUUCUGGUUGAGUCCA
rnacentral:tRNA from 1 species